rnacentral:rRNA from 1 species
GACGAACGCUGGCGGCGUGCUUAACACAUGCAAGUCGAACGGAAAGGCCCUGCUUUUGUGGGGUGCUCGAGUGGCGAACGGGUGAGUAACACGUGAGUAACCUGCCCUUGACUUUGGGAUAACUUCAGGAAACUGGGGCUAAUACCGGAUAGGAGCUCCUGCUGCAUGGUGGGGGUUGGAAAGUUUCGGCGGUUGGGGAUGGACUCGCGGCUUAUCAGCUUGUUGGUGGGGUUGUGGAUUACCAAGGUUUUGACGGGUAGCCGGCCUGAGAGGGUGAAAGGCCACAUUGGGACUGAGAUACGGCCCAGACUCCUACGGGAGGCAGCAGUGGGGAAUAUUGCACAAUGGGCGGAAGCCUGAUGCAGCAACGCUGCGUGCGGGAUGACGGCCUUCGGGUUGUAAACCGCUUUCGCCUGUGACGAAGCGUGAGUGACGGUAAUGGGUAAAGAAGCACCGGCUAACUACGUG